UGUUUAUCUCUGACUGAAAUAUUGAGACUUGAUUCACAGUGCUUUCCAAUUUUGAGGUGACCGUGGAGCUAGACGCGUUUGGAAGAACAACAGACACGUUUCUAAACGGAAGAGCCAAAGCAACGUAUACACUUGGAGACCCUGUUGACGGGACAUGCGUUCUCACCAUCAGCAAACGAUAUGGAUCCGGAUUCUACCUCGCUAAGGCUGUUAGAACUAAUUUGACUCUGAUCAACGGAGAAGCUUCAUUCAGCAUACCAAUAUACCUAGUUAAAACUUUGAUUAAAGACAAACUUGAUAACAAGACGUUUGUGGUCCAUGCAAAUUGUACUGAGACAAUGACUGGACAAACUUUAGAAGGGGAGGGGGAAAUUCGUUACCAUAGCAAUCCAUACAAACUCGAAUUCUUCCCAAAUAUGGCAGAUAACUUCAAACCUGGAUUUGAUCCAUACAAAGUGUCUGCAAAGGUAAGACUGCAGGAUGGUAGCCCACCUGACUUUAAACCAACAGACAACAAAAAUGUCCUCUUUACAUUCACCUACUUUACUGAUGCAAAAGUCGUAGAACAGAUACCAGACAGAUUAACAUUUGAUAAUUAUUCCCUUAUCUGCCCAUUCAUCAACGGCGAAGUUAUAUUAAAGAAAACAAAGACGUACCCAAUUGCAGCAGAUGGAUCAAUUAAGUUUGACUUACCGAUUCCAGCCAAUACCGCCAC